rnacentral:rRNA from 1 species
CCUACGGGAGGCAGCAGUGGGGGAUAUUGCACAAUGGGGGAAACCCUGAUGCAGCGACGCCGCGUGUGGGAAGACGGUCUUCUGGAUUGUAAACCACUGUCCCCAGGGACGAAAAUGACGGUACCUGGGGAGGAAGCUCCGGCUAACUACGUGCCAGCAGCCGCGGUAAUACGUAGGGAGCAAGCGUUGUCCGGAAUUACUGGGUGUAAAGGGAGCGUAGGCGGGGAUGCAAGUUGGGUGUAAAAACUACCGGCUCAAGCGAUAGUCGCACUCAAAACUGCAACUCUUGAGUGAAGUAGAGGCAGGCGGAAUGCCUAGUGUAGCGGUGAAAUGCGUAGAUAUUAGGAGGAACACCAGUGGCGAAGGCGGCCUGCUGGGCUUUUACUGACGCUGAGGCUCGAAAGUGUGGGGAGCAAACAGGAUUAGAUACCCUGGUAGUC